UUUACCCUGGAGAGCAGAGGACAACGACGCAUGCGCGCGGGUUGUCCCACCCUUUGCGUUAGGGCGCGAGUGACGGAAACAGAUCCCUCUAUUUAUCAUUCACUCUGGAAGAAGCCAGCUGCCUGGUCAUAAGCAAUCCUAUGGAGAGGCCCAUGAAUUGAGAAACUGAGGCCUCUUGCCCAACAGCCACGUGAGUGAUCUCAGAAGUGGAUCCUCCCAGCCCAUUCAAGCCUUUGGAUGACUGCAGCCCCAACUGACAGUUUGACUGCAGACUCAUGACAGACUGAACCAGAACCACCCAACUAAGCUGUUCCCAGAUUUCUGAUCCUGGGAAAUUGUAUUGGUCAUCAUGAUCACCAAACAGCCUUGUCUAAUGUUGGCAUUCUGUGAAAUUACUUGUGUUCAACAGAAGUACAUCAUGGCCUCACUGCGAAGCCCAGCCAGCUCCUGGAUGUCAGAGACUGCUUUCCAAUUUCUCAGAUGUAGCGCAAGAUAGUGAUUCACUGGCAGACAAGAAAUCUAUAUCUCUAAUAAGAUACCUAUGUGAUUCUGAUUGAAGAAAUCUAAGACCAUGCUUUAAUAACUAUUCCUAUGGUAAGAAGUAGGGCUGAAAAUGGAGGAGCAGAUUGUAAAGAUCCUUAAAACACAGACUAAUAGGUUUGAACGUAAUUCUGCCAGCAAUAACAACAAUUAAUAGCAUAUGAGCAAAGAAGAACCUUCCCAAGUAGGGUUCAGAAAGAGUUUCCUGCUAGUAACAAAUAGAAAGGUUAGGUACUGUCUAAGAAUGGGGGCGAGCCUGGGGACAAGGAGGGAGAAUAGAAGCAGAUAAACCACCAGCUAGGAAACUCCUGCAAGGGACCAGGCCUGACAAGACAAGGAGUUAGAUUAAAACAUUGCCAGUGGGCAUGGAAAGAAAGUAUUGAAUGUGAAAGACAUUAAGUAAGAAUCUGAAAUCCAUUCAAGGGCAGGGAUUUGCGUUGAUAAAUUCUUAGCUCCCAGCCCUGUGCUUGGGGACAAAAUGAGCAUCCAAUAAAUAUUUAAGAGCUAAAUCAAUUAACCAACUAAUUGGAUUAUGUAACUGAGAUGAUGUGGGGGAAGAGGAAGAAGGAAAAAUCAGGAGUGAUUUAGGGAGAGUUAGGAAGGGAAAAUUAUUUCAGAAAAAGGAGCAUCCACUUUAGUCAAGUUUAAUCUCUGUAAUGGUGAAAUAUUCUAGCCAGAAGUUACUGAUGUGGGUUUGGAAUUUGAAUUUAAGAGAGAGGUUAAGGGGUCAGGCGCAGUGGCUCAUGCCUGUGAUCCCAGCACUUUGGGAGGCUGAGGCGAGCAGAUCACUUGAGGUUGGGAGUUUGAGACCAGUCUGGCCAACAUGGUGAAACCCUGUCUCUACUAAAAAUACAAAAAUUAGCCGGAAUGGUGGCGUGCUACUCGAGAAGCUGAGGCAUGAGAAUCGCUUGAACUCAGGAGGCAGAGGUUGCAGUGAGCCGAGAUCAUGCCAUUGCACUCCAGCCUGGGUGACAGUGAGACUCUGUCUCAAAAAAAAAAGAGAGAGAGAGAGGCUAAGGUAGGGGUUGCAGGAUGAAUAAGUGGGUAGAUUGAAGUCAUUGGAGCACGUGGAAUUUUCAAGAGUGGGUAGGUGAAGAAAGAAUGGAAGACAGGGUCAGCCUCCCGCUGAUUUGCCAUGGCAGUUCUUGUUUUCUACUUUAGAAGAUGAGUUGACAUCAGGGGAAAUAAAUUAUGACUAUUUCAGGAAUACAACGUACGUCUUCUGAGAUGGUUUCUGGAGUCAUCAGACAGGGUUUCCAAGACACCUCUGUCCCACUCAAGCUGUGACUUUUCCUGUGUUUAACCUAAGUUGAAAUUUUCUCAUCUGUAAAAAGCUGGUGAUAAAUGUAAAGCAAGCUCUUAAAGAUAGGCCCAG